GUAAAAAUAUAUUUAUUUUCAUAUACGGAAAGCACGGAAAGCUUAUAAAAGUAAUUUAGUUUUAGCAUAGUCGCGACGGGUGGCUGUGGCUGCGCAAUUUUCGAUUUCUCUUCACCGCCGUUGCUUGAUUCGAACAUCAUGAAUAACGAAAAAAUCGUUCCGUGUGAUCGUAUUUUUUUUAACAAAAUAAAAUAAGUUUAAUCUCCCCCAUGGCUACACCUUGAUGUAAUGGGAAGGCUCGGUAUCAGGAAGAUUUAUUGUGAAAGGGAAGUCGUAUUCAAAAUAUAGCAUUGCCGCGAGUCAAUAAUGAUUCUUGUGUGGCGAGCGCACAUAUGAUGCGUUGUGAAGGGAUAAUGUAUUCAUUAUCCCCAACAUCUUGACCUCAAUGAGAGAAAGUAUGUGCGUCGCGUACGAUUAAUGUCGGAAUUAUAUGUCGCUCAAACUGUCGCGCGAUUGUUAUAAUAUCGCAAUAAAAAUUGCGACGUGACGCGUCGUGUUGUUAAAUAUCGCGUGACUAUCGUAUUUUCGCAGAUGAGUUUUGUUUUGUGAGUGCCACGAAGAAACUGAGAGGAGGAGGAGGCCCAGGGGGCAUCGGGCAUCUGCGGAGCAACCAAGAGGAUCAACAUAUAUGUACUACAACUCCGCUGCGCAUCCAAUGUGCCAAAAAAAUCGCCGGAUGUGUGAGAAGAUAAUACUUUGCUCCGAUUACAUAUAUACUCAGACAGCACACAUGUCUAAAAUACAUCCAAAGGAUAUCUAGAGGACAUCCUGUUCAAAAACGUUUUCGGGAUAUCCUCUGGACGUCUUUUGAAUAUGCUAUGCUGUUUGGGUAACAAGUGUUAUGUUAAGUGUUUUAUCUCGCGUUUACGAUUCGUAUAUUGGGCGGUAACAAAUUUCCUUCGUUAAUUCAUAAUUUCGAAAGUAUGUAUUUGGCUUUUGUUUUAUAAUGUGUGUAACCAACAAAAGUGCUAGUUUCUGAUGUUCGUCGUUCUUUGAUGGAGCUGUUGCGAAGCAAUCUUAGACGAAAUCUACAGCGGGUGAAACAUACUGCAAUAUUCUAACUGAUGCAGCUGAUAAAGCGCACUUGGUUAGGAUACAACAACCGGU